rnacentral:rRNA from 1 species
AGAUCGAACUGAAGAGUUUGAUCCUGGCUCAGAUUGAACGCUGGCGGCAUGCCUUACACAUGCAAGUCGAACGGUAACGCGGGGCAACCUGGCGACGAGUGGCGAACGGGUGAGUAAUAUAUCGGAACGUGCCCAGUAGUGGGGGAUAGCCCGGCGAAAGCCGGAUUAAUACCGCAUACGACCUAAGGGUGAAAGCGGGGGAUCGCAAGACCUCGCGCUAUUGGAGCGGCCGAUAUCAGAUUAGGUAGUUGGUGGGGUAAAGGCCUACCAAGCCUGCGAUCUGUAGCUGGUCUGAGAGGACGACCAGCCACACUGGGACUGAGACACGGCCCAGACUCCUACGGGAGGCAGCAGUGGGGAAUUUUGGACAAUGGGCGCAAGCCUGAUCCAGCCAUGCCGCGUGCGGGAAGAAGGCCUUCGGGUUGUAAACCGCUUUUGUCAGGGAAGAAACGCUCUGGGCUAAUACCCUGGGGUAAUGACGGUACCUGAAGAAUAAGCACCGGCUAACUACGUGCCAGCAGCCGCGGUAAUACGUAGGGUGCGAGCGUUAAUCGGAAUUACUGGGCGUAAAGCGUGCGCAGGCGGUCUUGCAAGACAGAUGUGAAAUCCCCGGGCUCAACCUGGGAACUGCAUUUGUGACUGCAAGGCUAGAGUACGGCAGAGGGGGAUGGAAUUCCGCGUGUAGCAGUGAAAUGCGUAGAUAUGCGGAGGA